rnacentral:sRNA from 1 species
CGAAGGGAUGGAUCAAAUCCAAUCAAAAAAAGGAGGUUUCUUUUAGGAAAAGGAUUAAGAAAAAUAGGACUAAAAAUGCAAGUACAAUAAAAAUUCCGUAAUCCUAAGCCAAAUCCCGUUUUCCCAAAACAAAGGUUUAGAAAGAAAAAAAGAUAGGUGCAGAGACUCAAUGGAAGCUGUUCUAACAAAUGGAGUGGACUGCGUUGGUAGAGGAAUCUUUCCAUCGAAACUUCAGAAAGGAUGAAGGAGUUCGAUCCUGGCUCAGGAUGAACGCUGGUGG